GUAUUGAAUGGAAGAAAUCCUGGUGAGUAAUGAACCAGUUCAAGUUACAGCAUCAGAAAUCUAGUAAAAUAAAUAAUUUCAAGAAGCAAAGUCAUCAUUUGCAUUUCUGAAUCAGAUUUCUGGUUAUGACAAAUGGCGUAGGAAUCAAUUGCUAAUUAAAUAGUGUUGUCAAUAAUGGGUUACAAGUACUGGUUGUCUUUUAGUUUUCAUCCUUUUUUUGUUCUCUUUUUUAAGUUACCAUUCUUGUUGGUGGCUUCUAUUCAGAAAAUUAAUAGGCACAAUAAGAUGUUAUGAACUAGCUAUUGGCAAGACACAAGAGAUGCUCUACAAUAAAAUUCAUAGAGGGGUUGAUAUUGGGCCACAAACAUGAUGCAGACUUGAAUGAUUUAUUGUUGUGUUUGCUAAUUGUUUCUCAUCUAAUCCCUUUUAAUGUGGGUGUUAUUGUAAUAUUGACUGUUACUGUCUUGAAACUUUUCUUGCUGCUACUGUCAAAGGUCCACAUCUGAUCCAAGGAAUU
rnacentral:misc_RNA from 1 species